GGUGUUGUGGCUCAGUGGCAGAGCACUUGCCUAGCAUGUGCGAGGCACUGAGUUCGAUUCUCAGCACCA
rnacentral:tRNA from 1 species